rnacentral:misc_RNA from 1 species
AGGCCUCCGUGCAACUAUUGGUUGCACUAAAUGUCAGCUGUUCUGGAGCGAAGAGAGCCACUUCUCCAUAUACUUUUUGCUCUCAUCAGAGUAACCAUCUUUAAUGUUGAGAAUGGCACCAAACAUAUUGUUCUUUGAAUUCUCAAAUACUUUGUCUUGAGCACGCCCAUAACAUGGGACCAAUACAGCAAAACUGUUAUCUGUGUCAUCAUCACUCGGGAAUUCAGGUCCAUGAGGCUCCAACCAUCCAAUGGAAUAAUCUGAAUCAUCAGACUCAGAGCCUGAAACACAGCCACCAUCAGAUGGCACAAUAACAACAUCAUAUUCCCUAUCAAUUUUCCUCUCUUCCCGGCUAUGCCAUUUUCGCUUAACCCUCCUAGAUGAGGAAGCCAUAUUAGCCCCCCGAGCAAAAGGAAAUUUCAAAGUAUCUGAUUCCCACAAGUCUGCAUCAGGUCUGGCAUUUAAAGAAGAUGCAUUUGAGAUUCUAGGCUCCCGGUGCUUUCCACUCCAUAACCACCAUGAGAGAUUGGUAAAUGCCACAGCCAUAGUGAAUGGUUCUUUCCUC